rnacentral:tRNA from 1 species
UAAAAUAUAGCUAAAUAAGUAAUUCAUUUACAUUGAAUUGAUGACUGUGUUCUGUUUUAA